CAGCCGCGGUAAUUCCAGCUCCAAUAGCGUAUAUUAAAGUUGUUGCAGUUAAAAAGCUCGUAGUUGAAUUUCGGGAUUAGUAGUCCGGUCGUGCCACUGGUAUGUACUGGUCUUACUGAUUUCUCCUUCCUGAAGAACCGUAAUGCCAUUAAUUUGGUGUUGCGGGGAAACAGGACUGUUACUUUGAAAAAAUUAGAGUGUUUAAAGCAAGCUAACGCUUGAAUACAUUAGCAUGGAAUAAUGAAAUAGGACGAUCGAUCCUAUUUUGUUGGUUUCUAGGAUUGACGUAAUGAUUAAUAGGGAUAGUUGGGGGCAUUAGUAUUCAAUUGUCAGAGGUGAAAUUCUUGGAUUUAUUGAAGACUAACUACUGCGAAAGCAUUUGCCAAGGAUGUUUUCAUUAAUCAAGAACGAAAGUUAGGGAUCGAAGACGAUCAGAUACCGUCGUAGUCUUAACCAUAAACUAUGCCGACUAGGGGAUCGGAUGAUGUUAAUUUUUAUAAUGACUCAUUCGGCGCCUUACGGGAAAC
rnacentral:rRNA from 1 species